AGUGAACGCUGGCGGUAGGCCUAACACAUGCAAGUCGAACGGCAGCACAGGAGAGCUUGCUCUCUGGGUGGCGAGUGGCGGACGGGUGAGGAAUACAUCGGAAUCUACUCUGUCGUGGGGGAUAACGUAGGGAAACUUACGCUAAUACCGCAUACGACCUACGGGUGAAAGCAGGGGAUCUUCGGACCUUGCGCGAUUGAAUGAGCCGAUGUCGGAUUAGCUAGUUGGCGGGGUAAAGGCCCACCAAGGCGACGAUCCGUAGCUGGUCUGAGAGGGUGAGCAGCCACACUGGAACUGAGACACGGUCCAGACUCCUACGGGAGGCGGCAGUGGGGAAUAUUGGACAAUGGGCGCAAGCCUGAUCCAGCCAUACCGCGUGGGUGAAGAAGGCCUUCGGGUUGUAAAGCCCUUUUGUUGGGAAAGAAAUCCAGCUGGCUAAUACCCGGUUGGGAUGACGGUACCCAAAGAAUAAGCACCGGCUAACUUCGUGCCAGCAGCCGCAGUAA
rnacentral:rRNA from 1 species